GUGCGAUUCUGAAUCUUAUUUUAACCACAUUUCACGUUGUUAUCUCUAGUUAACAACUUUUUUUGGGGUUAAGUGAUUGUGUAUCAACUUUAACCAUAUUUGUCAUUGUUUAGUGUUAACAAACGCAGUCAGCUGUUUGGUGACAAUUAUUUUUGUGGUUAAGCUAACAGCAUCUAGUUUUUCUUUGUUAAGCUGUUGUUUACUAAUUUUGCUGUGAAGUUAAAUUGAGAAAAUUGUGAAGAUUGUGUUAAAAAAUGGCAUUUGCAUACAUUGCAUCAUAUUUAUAUGAUACCGAUAAUGAGCAGCCAUUAAACGUGCCAAGAAUUGACCGGCGGACCGGAUCAAUACAGCCUAUAUUGCUGAAAAUGUUCCUAAAUCUAUUACAAAACAACCAACCCAACAGCGCCCUUACACUGUCCGGGCGUUUCGCUUUAAACCAAUAAACAACAAUUGAAUUUGUGAGUGCCGGUGCUGUUGUGAAGGGUUAUUCAUGGAUACCAUAAAAAGAGAUACAAACCUACAUCAAUGCUGUUGGCAUAAUACUCGCUUCUCUGCCUGAGAAAUGUUGGAAGGCAAAUGAUCCCCAUAGUGAGCCGCUGAUACCUAUGUGUCUUCAGUUGGUAAUUGCAUAGUUACUGCCGCGAGUGCGGUUCACAAUGCUCUUUGCCGCAUUCUUUUUGGCAUGGUCGUUUGUUGAACCAGCCCACAUAACAGACGCUCGUUUGGCAAGUUCUAUUUCCGUUGCUUGAUAAUGUGCGUGCGCUUUCCAGUACGGGAAGCAGUGAGAAGGUGGAUGGUGCUGCCUUGAGUAAAAAUUGUGAAGACUCGCUGGCCGCACUAAAAUCUCUGCAAGAAAUUAUGCAUGACAAUGCAGACAAAUUGGCGUCACUUGCUAACGAGGAAACAGCGGAAACAAAGAUGAGGAAUUUGCAGGAUUGCAUGGAAUAUUUGGCUAAAUACCGGCAUUGAAAGCACAAAGAUCACAACGAAAAACAACCAUGCCAAAGAGGAGUUUUAUGUGCCUAGUCAGGCAUUUUUAAUAGCGCUAACACAAAUUUUCUAGCACAUACAACUGCGGGGGUGAUACAUCAUUGAAUUCGAAUGUCUUCACUGGGCGCUUGGCGGUUACUGCUUUACUACAUCGAUUCCAAUACGUUUUGAAGCGUUUCAAUGACGACGAACGGCUGAUGGGCGCCGUGCAAGGGUCAACCUAGCUCAUUCCGGGGUAUUGGUCGUAACUAUCAGUGAAGUGCACAGCUGCCAAAUGCGCAUUAAGUCAAUUAAAGAACCAGUUUGAUAACAAAGAAGGAUCAUACCACAACAUUACCGGCACCCUGACACUUAUUGAAUAAGUACCAAAUAAGUAAAUACAUAUCGUCACCUGAAAUGCAAAAAGACGUAACAAUAUCGUAAAUGAGAUUUAAAAAGUCGUGACUAAUAUUUUCAUUAUUUUUUUCAUAAAAUGAUGUGGGAAGUUGUAACUCGUUGAAAUCCAUUAUAUAAAUCAAAAAGUAAAUUUUGAAUUUUUUAUUAGUUAUGACUUUUUGCAUUUUAACAAUGAUUUUUGUUACGUCUUUUUGAGUUUCAGGUGACGAUAUGUUUUUCUACAAAUUUAAAACACAUAUUUUUAAUGACUUAACAAAUUUUUCACCAUUUUAUGUACUCUGAAUGCAUGUAGACAUUGAAAUAACUGGGGUAUCGACAUUAUAAAUUGAUUGGAAAUAUCUACCCGAUAUUAUUUAGAGUGGUCCACGAAAUAAUAGGAAUGCGAUAUUUUGACUCCUUUUAUUUUGUGCACAACUGUUAUGUACAUGCACAACUGUUAUAUAAUGCAUUAUUUCAACUCAUUUAAAAGUUAAAUACGGCAUUAAUUGUAACUUUUUUGUUGUAAGUUUGUUGUGGAAAGAAAAACUUAUUUAACUUUUUAUAUUUAGAAAAAUAUAGUGAUAACUUGACACACGUAAUAAAAUUGUUGUUUUGAAUCAUAACCAAAUUACAUAUAUUCAACUAUAAGUACAUAUUUCAGUUUCACUAGAAAAUUUCAGUAGCCGGUAAGAAAACUAAUAAAAUAAAAGCAAACUAUU